rnacentral:rRNA from 1 species
CAGGGAGGUAGUGACAAGAAAUAACAAUACAGGGCUUUCGUCUUGUAAUUGGAAUGAUGGUGAUGUACAACCUCACCAGAGUACCAAUUGGAGGGCAAGUCUGGUGCCAGCAGCCGCGGUAAUUCCAGCUCCAAUAGCGUAUAUUAAACUUGUUGCAGUUAAAAAGCUCGUAGUUGUAUUUCAGCCUCGCGUUUUUUCCCUCGUUUUGGGUCUUUUCGCUGGCUUUUUUUUUACUUUGAGAAAAUUAGAGUGUUUCAAGCAGACUUUUGUCUUGAAUACUUCAGCAUGGAAUAAUAGAGUAGGACCUUGGUUCUAUUUUGUUGGUUUUGAGCCUUGGUAAUGGUUAAUAGGAACGGUUGGGGGCAUUCGUAUUUAACUGUCAGAGGUGAAAUUCUUAGAU